UAAAUGAAUGGUAAAUGAUCUGGAAAGAUUUCAUACCAGAGAAACCAAGUUAUCCCUAAAUGGGGCAGGGGAGAAGGAAACAAGGGAAAAGUAAACUUUUACUUUUCACUCGAUUUUCUGAUUGUUUGAACCAUUACCAGAAAAUCAUUAAAAAGAAAUUUAGAAAAAAAAAUGUAUUUUACUUUUAUUUUUCAGAUGAGGUUGUUUUCUCAAGCUCAGGUUCUCAAAGUUUCAUUUCCUCUGUAGUUAGUCUCAAAACAACCACAACGUAUCUGGUAUUUAGUACAGUUUUGGAAAAGAAGUUUAUCCCACAAAAUAUCAAGUGAUCUUGAACUAAAAGUCCAGACUAUGUUCUUCCAUGUGACAUCAAGUAAACAGCCUCUAAUGAUUUCUUGCUAAGGGCUAGAAUAUCCAUCAGCAGGUUGCCCUGAAGAAACCACCUUUCCAGCUGCAUUGAGCCAGAACUGCACCAACUUCUCUAACCUGUGAGAGGAGGUUCGUGCCAGCACAUUUUUCAGUAGACUGAACUACAUAAUGGAAAGUGUUUCUCAGACACCUCUGCAGUCCUGAACUCUGUACAAAUCACGAUAAUAAUCACUAAGAAGUCUUCAAGAACAGAGACUCUACUGAAUUCAUAUUGAGACUUGCUGUCACUAUCAGAACAAUGCUAUAUAUGACAGAGACCCCUGGCUGCUUUUGAUAAAUGAAAUCAGUGAACGGGAAAAAGAUACAUCUCAUCUAAGGAACUCACAAGAGGCUUAUCCUAUGAAAAAUGGGUUGCAGAUAAACAAUUCCUCGUGCGGGAAACCUUGUCAAUAAUGGUAAGAAGCAGCAUGGCCUAUUGGACAGGAAGAUGAGAAGAAAGAAAGAACUCAUUUUUAAAAGGACAAGCCACCAUUUUCCUUGGACGUUCAAAGAAAUGUGUGGUCCUCAAAAGCUUGGAAAUUACUGCAUUAAUUUCUGUUCAUCAAAAGUUACCUUAAAUAAGCAGAAAAGCUGGAAUACAAACCAGGAGAACAAAUUAUAAUUGUCAUCAAUAUGUGUUCUCAACAGAAUGGAUGACCCCCCCACCUACACUGGUGACAGCAUAUCUUCUUUACCCAGUCUACUUCUGCAAAUGUUAACCUCUUCCAGAAACACUUAUGAGCACAUCUAGAAAUUAUGGUGUACUGGCACUCUGGGCAUCCCUUAGCCCACUCCAGGUGACACAUCAAACUAACCAUAACAGUCCAGAAAUAAGAGGAGUAGAAAUCUGUUUUUUUUUUUUAAUUUGCUAUUUAAAUGUUUAUAAUGCAGGCAAUAGAUUAACAUCUUAAAAAUUAAUUCUAAUUACAUGUGGUCACAGAUAACUGAGUAUUUUUAAAAAUGACAGUGAGAAAGUAGUAGUACAAGAAAAUCCAAACCAAAAACAAAAAGACUUGGCCUUCAAGUAUUUUUGAAAAUAAAAACAAUAAAAUGUAAAUUUUAAAUA